GAGCGCGUGCGUCAACGUGCUGUGUCCGCGAAGCGCUGAAUCUCUGCAUUCCGGCCGCAAAACGGGCAUUUCUCGACCCAUACCUUGACAUGGUAGGGGUCGUUGGUUCGAAUCCAAUCGCGCCUACCA
rnacentral:tRNA from 1 species